rnacentral:lncRNA from 1 species
GACCCCUCCUUUACUAUCAAAUCAAUCGGCCAUCAAUGAUAUUGAACCUGCGAAUACACCGACUACGGUGGACUAAUCUUCAACUCCUAUAUACUCCCUCCAUUAUAUCUAGAGCCAGGUGACCUAUGACUCCUUGACGUUGACAAUCGGGUGGUCCUCCCAGUUGAAGCUCCCGUUCGUAUAAUAAUUACAUCGCAAGAUGUCUUACACUCAUGAGCUGUUCCCACAUUAGGCCUAAAAACAGACACAAUU